ensembl:miRNA
GCGGGCGGCCCCGCGGUGCAUUGCUGUUGCAUUGCACGUGUGAGGCGGGUGCAGUGCCUCGGCAGUGCAGCCCGGAGCCGGCCCCUGGCACCA